rnacentral:rRNA from 1 species
UACGUAGGGGGCAAGCGUUGUCCGGAAUCAUUGGGCGUAAAGAGCGUGUAGGCGGUCCGGUAAGUCUGAUGUGAAAGCCCACGGCUCAACCGUGGAGGGUCAUUGGAAACUGGGGGACUUGAGUACAGAAGAGGAAAGCGGAAUUCCACGUGUAGCGGUGAAAUGCGUAGAGAUGUGGAGGAACACCAGUGGCGAAGGCGGCUUUCUGGUCUGUAACUGACGCUGAGGCGCGAAAGCGUGGGGAGCAAACAGG